GCAUGUGCGCGAGUCAUUGGGACUAAUUAAACCUAAAGGCGCAAUGAAAGUGAAGGUACGCCUCGCGCGGACCUAGGGAGGAUGGGCCCGUCCACGGGCGGGCCCCGCACUCCCGGGGCGUCUCGUUCUCAUCGCGAGAUGAGGCGCACCCAGAGCGUACACGCUGGGACCCGAAAGAUGGUGAACUAUGCCUGGUCAGGACGAAGUCAGGGGAAACCCUGAUGGAGGUCCGUAGCGAUUCUGACGUGCAAAUCGAUCGUCGGAACUGGGUAUAGG
rnacentral:rRNA from 1 species